rnacentral:rRNA from 1 species
GACGAACGCUGGCGGCGUGCUUAACACAUGCAAGUCGAACGGAAAGGCCCUGCUUUUGUGGGGUGCUCGAGUGGCGAACGGGUGAGUAACACGUGAGUAACCUGCCCUUGACUUUGGGAUAACUUCAGGAAACUGGGGCUAAUACCGGAUAGGAGCUCCUGCUGCAUGGUGGGGGUUGGAAAGUUUCGGCGGUUGGGGAUGGACUCGCGGCUUAUCAGCUUGUUGGUGGGGUAGUGGCUUACCACGGCUUUGACGGGUAGCCGGCCUGAGAGGGUGACCGGCCACAUUGGGACUGAGAUACGGCCCGGACUCCUACGGGAGGCAGCAGUGGGGAAUAUUGCACAAUGGGCGGAAGCCUGAUGCAGCAACGCCGCGUGCGGGAUGACGGCCUUCGGGUUGUAAACCGCUUUCGCCUGUGACGAAGCGUGAGUGACGGUAAUGGGUAAAGAAGCACCGGCUAACUACGUG